rnacentral:rRNA from 1 species
UACGAGAGGCCCAAACGUUAUUCGGAAUUACUGGGCUUAAAGAGUUCGUAGGCGGCCAGAUAAGUCCGGUGUGAAAGUCCCAGGCUCAACCUGGGAAUGCCGCCGGAAACUGUCUGGCUAGAGUCCGGAAGGGGCCAGUGGAAUUCCCGGUGUAGCGGUGAAAUGCGCAGAUAUCGGGAGGAACACCAAUGGCGAAGGCAGCUCUCUGGGACGGUACUGACGCUGAGACGCGAAAGCGUGGGGAGCGAACAGG